UACGGAGGGUGCGAGCGUUAAUCGGAAUUACUGGGCGUAAAGGGUGCGUAGGUGGUUGAUUAAGUUAUCUGUGAAAUUCCUGGGCUUAACCUGGGCUGGUCAGAUGAUACUGGUUGACUCGAGUAUGGGAGAGGGUAGUGGAGUUUCCGGUGUAGCGGUGAAAUGCGUAGAGAUCGGAAGGAACACCAGUGGCGAAGGCGGCUACCUGGCCCAAUACUGACACUGAGGCACGAAAGCGUGGGGAGCAAACAGG
rnacentral:rRNA from 1 species